UGCCAGCAGCCGCGGUAAUACGAGGGGUCCUAGCGUUAUCCGGAUUUAUUGGGUUUAAAGGGUCCGUAGGCGGACGACUAAGUCAGUGGUGAGAUCCAACAGCUCAACUGUUGAACUGCCAUUGAUACUGAUCGUCUUGAGUAUGUUAGAUGUUGGCGGAAUAGGUCAUGUAGCGGUGAAAUGCUUAGAUAUGUCCUAGAACACCGAUUGCGAAGGCAGCCAACAAUGCCAUUACUGACGCUGAGGGACGAAAGCGUGGGGAGCGAACAGGAUUAGAUA
rnacentral:rRNA from 1 species